rnacentral:lncRNA from 10 species
UUUCCAGCAACCUAGAUAAUGAAACCACAGAGCAGCCUUCCCCUGCGGUGACCUAGUUCUUAAUUCCUGUAGUUUCAACACUCAUCACAGCAGAAUUCUGAUGAGGCUGGGCUCUUUCGCAGCUGGCAUUUGAUGAGAAAAGGGAAUUGAAAUGUAGGUGAUUGAUUUGGACCUGGAGAAGCUGAUUGGAUGUCACCCUGUUCUUCCCGACAAUGGGGACCGGUCUGUGCAAAGGGGACUUCCUGUGACCCCUGCGGGUCCACCGGAAGUUCUGAUUUCUCCCCGUGGAAUAGGGGCGCGAAGGCUGCCCUGUCACACACGGCCCAAGAGAUUGAUUACCUGGGCUCUGGCAGCCUCUCUGGGUGGCCUACCUGGUUGGGUGGUCCAGACUUCCACGCCUGAGAGCCCGAGCCCUUGGUCGUCACGUCCUCCUUUGGCUUUGGCUGCUGCUCUUGUCCAUUCACCAUCAAAUAUGGAUGAAAGAGUCCAAGGCGACACCUUGAUGGAUCUCCUGAGUGCCGAAUGGAGUCAGUAGCUUCAUUGUGCAGUAGCUUCAUCCUCCUGAGAAUCCCCCUGCGAUUCCCCAGCCUGCCAGGUGUCCCACAUGAACGCAGCCUGUUCUGGUUCUCCUUCCUGAUAAGAGUGGAAAAGAAUGCAUUCACCCGGUAUGGGCUGCAUUCCUGGGCCACAGGCCACCAAGCUCACCUGCACCAGGAAAGCUGCUCCCCACCAGUUACAAACAGCAACUGCCUGAUCGAGUUGCAGAUGUCCAUUGUCAUCCUCUAGGGUCUGUCGGGAUUUUCUAGGGCCAGACGUGAAUUAAAUAGGGGUGUGCUGGGUGCAGCCCUCGCAUCCUCUAGGUGUUUAAUCUCUGGCAUUUCCUCUGGGAUGUGAUAUUAUUUUUGAUUUCCUGCAUUGAUGUGUGUGUCUGGGAGUGGGGGGCCUCCACUUGAACUUCCCCAUGGUGGUAGUUCCUACCACCGACUCCUAGGAACUAAUGUGGCAGUUUUACCAAUUUCAAAAGUCAGUUUGAAUUCUACAUUUGGAGGCUGGGGAAAGGGCUCCUGGUUGGGUCUAUGGACCCAGGGGAGUCACUGUGAGCUGGGUUUGGUUACCUCUUCCUUCAAAACCGGCCCCUGCACACCUCCACUCUAACAGAGGGUUCAGGACCAGGCCUAGGUCCCUAGGUACCAGUGUCGCCUCAGAUCCUGUGCCCAGUGGUCCUCACAUGGCAUGUGUCUCUUUGUGGACGAUCUGGGGGAGAAUGUUUGUACAGACACUGCUGUGAUGGGGGAGAAUGUUUGUAUAGACACUGCUGUGAUGUUGGAGGGUCCUUCCUCCCGGGGCUCACCCUCUCCCUCAGUCAGUGGGUUCCAGGUCUGAAAAUGAGCUCAGCUCCAGGGCUGAAAUGUAGCUUUCUAUUGGUCAUUUUCCUGAAGCCUCUUGACUAGUUUCCCUUGAGAAAAGCUUUUGCUAAGGGUGUGUGGAUUGAGAGGUGCCCUUUUCUCCUGCUAUAUAUCUACCCUUUGCAGAUGGGGUCAGGUGCUCCAGCUGCCACUCUGGGCUUGAUGCCCUGUGUCACUGUGCCUACCUUGCUCCCUGCCAAAUGACACACUAGCUUCUGUUGUUGUGGGAUUCCAUUGGCCUCCUUUGCAUUCAAGAGUCCAAUUCUGUAACAACAGCAUAGCCGCCCCGCUUGUUUCCGCAGGCUCCCUCUCAGCAGUGCGUUCUUUAUCUAGCUGGUAACUGGCAUGUUCUCUGGUUGAAGGGCGUGGCUGGCUUUCCGAGCUGAUGUGCUGGACCUGCUCUAGAGGGCAUACUCCUCUGAGCCUUUCUGUCCCUUCCUUCAUGGGCAGGAGGGCGGCCCAGGCAUUUCUGCUUAACUUAGUAUGGACCUUUGCUUCCUUCAGGCUCCUAGGAGCCCUCCUAGAGCACGUUAGCACUGCUUAGGGGCCUUGCCAGAGUUUACAACCCUGGAUCAUGGAAGGGCAGGCCCACACUGAUAAACUCUCCCUAUUCCAAGCUUAGGUUCUGACCGUCUUAGUCUUGUACCCUCAGAACCCAGCCCCACACAUUCUCCUGGUUUCUGCCCAUGCCUCUCCAUGAGGUCUUGCAGCUUCUCUGGGGGCCUUUCUUCCUGUAGCAGGCACUUCCUGCACUUCCCCAUCUAUGUACUGCUGUGACCUGAACCUCAUGAUCAGCCCGGUUAGCGGGAGGGGAAGUGGGGGCAGAGGCCCAGGGGUGCAUGCAUCAGGGAGAUGCCCACAUUGUCUUGUGGGGCAGAGCUUCUGCAGCAGGGGUCCCCAGUCUUUCUGGCACCAGGAACUGGUUUUGUGGAAGACAGUUUUUCCAUAGACUGGGGGUGGGGGGUGGUUUCAGGAUGACUCAAGCACAUUACCUUUAUUGUACAAUUUAUUUCUAUUAUUAUUACAUUGUAAUAUAUAAUAAAAUAAUUAUGCAACUCACCAUCGUGUAGAAUAAGUGGGAGCCCUGAGCUUGUUUUCCUGCAACUAGAUGGUCCCAUCUGGGGGUGAUGGGAGACAGUGACAGAUCAUCAG